AGAUAGGUGAAUUUGAGAGAGCUCAACAACAACAACAACAUCAACAUGAACAAAAUUUUUUAAUGGCACCUGGUGGAGGAACUAUAUGUGACACAAUUGCAUCUUCACAACAACCACCACCACCAUUUGAUCGCAACUUCUUUUAGGAUCUGGUCACCAAUAUUGUUGUCUGAUAGAGGGUGGUGGAAACCAAUGGAAGUUCAAGCACAGCCUUCACAUAAUUUAAUCUAUCUGAAAUAUAUAUAGUUCCAAUAGUAGUGUGAUCCUUAAUUAUAAUGCUUCUGGAAUUUACUUUAGUUACAAAAUUUCUUCCAACUGGGAAGGAAAGAACCAACUUUUGCAACCAUAUACCGAACAUAAUAUUAAUAUUAUUGAUGCUGAUGUAUCUCUAAAUAAGAACCACUUUCUUUCUCA